rnacentral:rRNA from 1 species
GACGAACGCUGGCGGCGCGCCUAACACAUGCAAGUCGAACGGAGCUGAGAGAAGCUUGCUUUUCUUAGCUUAGUGGCGAACGGGUGAGUAACGCGUGAGUAACCUGCCCUGGAGUGGGGGACAACAGUUGGAAACGACUGCUAAUACCGCAUAAGCCCACGAUCCGGCAUCGGCUUGAGGGAAAAGGAUUUAUUCGCUUCAGGAUGGACUCGCGUCCAAUUAGCUAGUUGGUGAGGUAACGGCCCACCAAGGCGACGAUUGGUAGCCGGACUGAGAGGUUGAACGGCCACAUUGGGACUGGGACACGGCCCAGACUCCUACGGGAGGCAGCAGUGGGGGAUAUUGCACAAUGGGGGAAACCCUGAUGCAGCGACGCCGCGUGGAGGAAGAAGGUUUUCGGAUUGUAAACUCCUGUCGUUAGGGACGAUAAUGACGGUACCUAACAAGAAAGCACCGGCUAACUACGUG